UCCGUAUUUUUCUCUCUCUCCGUCCCACCACCCACCGAGCCCACCACAAACGCGGACGCUCCUCUCUCUCACCUCACCCGACCGCCACCACAAAUGCCACCAGUCCACCACUCGCCCCUCUUCCUCCUGGACAACAGCAAGGCGGCCUGCCCCGGCGAACAAGCGAGCUGCCCCAGGUCCCUGCAACCGCUCUGGCCGGACCAUGGCAUUGCUGUGGCGCGGCAUGGUGGAUCCCCUGGAUUUCCCCAUGACGCCACCAUCUCUAUCAACUACUUCCAUCUCUCCCAAUCCUUAAUUGUUAUUUUUUCUAGAUCUUGUACUGUUCGUGGUGUGAAUCCACAUGUGAAAGAUAUUUAUGAUCUUUGGAUGGUAAUGGGAUUUUCAGGAUGUACUUGAUGUUCAAGAUUCAUGCUCCCCUCCGUAUCAUGUUUCUUCUCAUCCUCUCUUCUUUUCUGAUUUUUUUACUGCACGGAUGUUCUUGAGCAGAGAAAUUACUUCUAAAAUUUCGGACGAGUUGUCUGCCUAUCUCCAUUGAUGCCAUUCAGGUUUCAAUUUCUUGUUCUAUUGAUUUUCAAUAAAUUUCUAGCCCACGCACCAAUUUUAGGUGGUACAAAUAUUAGGCUGAAUUGGUGUCUCCGUUUGGUGUCUAGUUCCCUGCCAGUAAUCUUCCCCGGCGAGCCGCCCUGCUCCUCCCAUGGCAUGUUGCCGGUAUUGCUCGAUUCGCUGCUCGGUUCGCUGCUCGAUUUUCUACCGAUGAAAAAUAUCAUCUCUGCCUCCGGCUUCAACUAUCUCGUGUCGGCAGUGUUGAUGUCAACCUUGCACGCCUAUGGGUUGACGCACCACUCCUCCGAGUCGGCCAGGGUGACAGAUGCCGCCAGUAUGAUCGAGCUCGCACAAUGUUAUUGUUGCUGGACAGGAACAGAACGCGUAGCAGUAUCAGAUUGAACCAUGGGUUUCUAUUGAUGUUCUUCCAGGUUCUCAUCCUAAAGAAAACCUGACAAGAAAACCUUGUUAAACCCCCAUCCCCCCUUCGUGUAAAACACUAGGGAAAAUCAAUGUAAAUUCCGUUUCUGCUCA